rnacentral:lncRNA from 1 species
AAAAUGGAGAAAGCCCCUGUGGAGUCGCUCAAAGGAGGCAUAAUAUACAUUUGUAUGUGUUGAGAAUAGUGGAUGGAAGGUGAGCUCAAACAAGUCAGUAGAAGGCAGCGGACAGUUAGACAAUAAGGCGGAGUCUAGAAGAAGCUUAGACGUAGCUACAAGGGGAAGAUAUACAACUUGGAUGAAGCAGGAGAAAGAAGUCGGAUGCAGUGAGAAAAUGUAGACCGUCUAAGACAUCUGGUGAAAGGGAUCUGGAACUAUGCAAAACCUGGACAUUAGACAUUGGUA